AACGAACGCUGGCGGCAUGCCUAACACAUGCAAGUCGAACGAAGCCUUCGGGCUUAGUGGCGCACGGGUGCGUAACGCGUGGGAAUCUGCCCUUUGGUUCGGAAUAACAGUUGGAAACGACUGCUAAUACCGGAUGAUGACGAAAGUCCAAAGAUUUAUCGCCAGAGGAUGAGCCCGCGUAGGAUUAGCUAGUUGGUGUGGUAAAGGCGCACCAAGGCGACGAUCCUUAGCUGGUCUGAGAGGAUGAUCAGCCACACUGGGACUGAGACACGGCCCAGACUCCUACGGGAGGCAGCAGUGGGGAAUAUUGGACAAUGGGCGAAAGCCUGAUCCAGCAAUGCCGCGUGAGUGAUGAAGGCCCUAGGGUUGUAAAGCUCUUUUACCCGGGAUGAUAAUGACAGUACCGGGAGAAUAAGCCCCGGCUAACUCCGUGCCAGCAGCCGCCGCCG
rnacentral:rRNA from 1 species